UGGAGUAGAAGUGUUAAAUUUCUAAUGGGUUUCAUGAUCUUUUGUAGUGGUAUGAUUUGGGAAAUUUGUCGGUUUAGUUUAUAUAUGCCAGCUUUUUAGAUUUUGGCGUGGGUUGACCAAAGCAAAAGUGUACAGAGCGAGUUCAUCUUUAUAUAUUAUUUUAUUUGCACCUGGUUUUGGUUGUGAUUUCACAUGAACUGAGUUCUUGCUUUGAUUUAUUGCUGAGCACCUUAUAUCAAUAAGUGUUAUUUUUUAUUUGUUUCUUCAACAUUUCUAUACUUUUAGUUUAGUUGCUGUUGUGAUUCUUAUUCGGAUCAUUCUGUGAGAUAGAGCUUAUUUUUCUUUCUUUGCAAUGUUCUACAUUUUCCUACUAAGUAAUUGGUGUAAAUCGUCUUUUAUUUCAUCAAACGGAGACCUCAGCCCUCACAGUCACUUGUUUCAGAAAUAAAAGUACCCCAGAAAUACACCAUCGGAAAUUGAUUACAGAAGUUCUUGCACCAGAUCUGGGAGGGAAUUGGAUGAACUGGAAGAUGUGGACGUUGCUCGAGCUCGACAGAUUUCAUGGCGAUGGGAAUGCAGAUCAAAACGAUGCCAGCCAUGGCGAAUGCAGUAUUGCGCUUCCAGUGCUUGGUCAGACGUGGGGGAUGCCGAGUUACCUUCAAAACCACCAGGUCGAUAUCGUAAUCGCAUGUUGCACACUUCAUAACUUCAUUCGGAGAUACAGCAACGAUGACAUCAUAUUCAACGAACCGGAUGAAGACACUCCUCCUGACAUGGAUUCCUUUUACCAUAGGGGACAUCCAACCACUUCUGAGUUAGAAGCGCAACGCACCCUCCGAGAUAACAUAGCGCUACAAAUGUGGGCAGCUCACCAUCCAAAUAACCCACAAUGAUGGAAGAACUGGACAAUCAUAUCUAAACUAUUUAAACUUUUUUCUGAUAUUCACUCUGCCUAUCGAUCUAACGCUAUAUGACCAUUUAGUAGGAAUCAAGUGUAGGAUGAUGUACGUAAUUUGUUGACAUUGAAUAAAAUAGGUGAUGCAUUAAUCCAAGCAAUAAUGACAUUUCAUACAUUAGCAACUCGUGCAGAUGGUACGACGUUGCACAUUACUAUUUUCUGACCAUUGUUCUGUGCAGACAUGGCAUAUCGUAGAUAUCUAGAGAGUGCUGGAUUUCCACAGGAGGAUCACUGGACUUUAAAUGUUGAGCAACGCUUCAUGUGGAUGAUACUAGACGACAACACCAGAACGCCCAUGAGAGACGAUGCACUUGCAGAGACACAAAUGGAUCAUUGGCACGUGCAUUACGAAGACAUUUUCGAUACCCCUACACACGAGAGCAAGUCCGUGCUAAGUUCUACGAGUUUAAAAAUCGAUUUCGCCAGUUUCACGGCAUCACUCAGCUAACAGGGGUUUUUUAUGAUAUUGAAACAUUUAUUAUGGUGUUUCCCUCCGAGGUACGACUACACGCGUCACGGCACUUUCCGUUGGCUAGACGGUACUAUCAUUAUCCAGAGCCACAUUAUCCCAGUAUGCUAGAGGUUUGGGGCCCAUUGAUGUUGCCAGAU